rnacentral:piRNA from 1 species
UCCUUUGACCCUACAACCUAGAACGUGCCC